rnacentral:sRNA from 1 species
AGAUGAGCUGUGAACAACAAAUGAUGGAUGAUUGUUUUUUUGAGGAACAAAAAAACAAAAAA